GCUUGCCCAGCUGAGGCAUUGGAGCAGGGCAUUUUGAUAGUGGCUGGAGGGCAGGCAGCUCAACCUCUAAACCCCCCUGGUCUGGGCACCAAGUCCUGUCCUGGGCACGGGACACAGUCCUCCAGCGAGACCAAACCCAGCUUCUCUACAGCACCAGGAAGAAGGCAAGCUGGGCCACCAGGGCGCGGCCCCAGGAAGGAAAAUCCUCCAUGGUCCUGUUGACAGAUGUGGUAUCAAAUGAAUUGUUCUCUGCUUAGACACGACUUUGAUAUUUAUUGGUUCAAAUUGCUCGGCUGACUCAGUCUUGCAAUCGAAGCGCGGACGGACCCUGGUGAUUUUGUUAAGCUUGGCUGGAAUGAGGAUUCCUGGUUCCGGGAGGAAGCUUACAUAACUUCCUGGGCGGUCUCCUCCCAACCAAUGCCCAUUUUGCUGACCCAACUGUAAAUGAAUCAGAAACAUUUCACUUCCAUCCCUCUGAAUUUGUAGUUCAUAAUCUCACAGGAAAAUAGUAGUAGAAAAAGCUCCCAAGUAUUUGCUCAACUCAAGAUGGAAAGAAAAUUGUAAUAAAGGUUUAGUUUUACUCAA
rnacentral:lncRNA from 1 species